UAUCAAUAUAUAUAUAUAUAUGUAUUUUUUGAUAUUUUCUGCCGUACCAACACUUUAACGAAAUCGUAUUAUAGAGUAACGCGACGCCACCCCAUCGCAUUCUGCUCUCUAUCCAGGAUUCUCUUGAUCUGUCGUCGCAACCUUUCGAUAUUCUGUGGGAUCUGUGGGGGAAUUUUAUUGGCAAAAUUUUUGUCUUUCGAUACCAAAUUGUGGGAUCAGAAAAAUCGAAAAACUGCGCGUGCGCCUGUCUAUAAUGUUGAAACGUCAGAUCUGACACUAGAUGUAGUUUCGACCGUUGCUCCAGUAGAGUGAAAGAUAUUUAGAUGAGCGCACAUCAGGAUUGUGGCCGAAAAAAAAUACUAUGAGCGAGCGUGGAUAGGCUCAGGAGUCCAGAAGUGAAGUGAGAAAUGCGAAACAAUCGAUAAACAAAUAUCAUAUAUAACAAUAUUCCAUUUAUUUGGAAUAUAAUAAUAAAAAUAAAAUAGGAAUGUAAGAUGCCAACAAGUAUAACCUGACAUAAAUCGAAGACAAGUAAAGAAUAAAGGUAAUUAAAAUAAUGAAGCUCGAUGAAAAAUUAUCUUUAACGGGAGCUAUAGUGUAGUUUAACACGAGAGAGACCCACGAACAUAUCUAUCUAUGAGACAGAAUCUUUUUUUUCUUCUUCUUUUCUUCUUAAUAUUUUCUUUAGUUCCUUCGCUGAAUAAAACUUGAUAGAUGAAAAAAAAUAUUGAUGAACACAAGCGGACGACAUUCAUCCUACUACGGACAUCAGUCAAAGGAAAAGAAAGCUGAGAGAGAGAAAGUGUUACUCAGCUCUACGCACUGUUAAAAAUUUUCUCUUUCUUUUUUUAUUUCUAUUAUUUUUUUAAAUUCUUCAAUAGUGCCAAACUGAAGAGAAGGUUCAAAUCUUCAUUUGACCAGGGAAAUACAGUUUCUCGCAUGGCAUUGAUACAGAAAACGUCAAAAUAAAAUUACGCUGAUUUACUUUAAUCGGGACUCAUGACCUGGAGUCAUUGGAUCCCUCAAGUUUGUUUCUCUCUCAGAUAUAUUUUAUGAGUUUAUUUGGCAGGUAUAGCAUUCCAUUUGCUCUCUCUCUCUCUCUCGAUCAAAAACGUCGUUCAAAAAUAAGGUUUUCCCGGUUAGUUUCGUUAGCUUUACCAUAUAAAAUGAAGUUAUUACAUUUGAUUGGUACAAUUAAUUUACUUAAAGAAGUUUCUAACAAGGAACUAAAAUUAUGUUUUUUAAGUUUCACAAAUUUUCCAACAAAUUAGAGCUCGGUAAAGAGACUGAUUAUCACAUCACCCGAUUCGUUAGCUCGGCUGUUACUCAUCAUUUUUCCAAUUACAAUCAGUUCGAAUUCGAAAAUGUUAUUAUUAAAAAUAGUAAUUUAAAGCAUAUAAAAAUAUAUUUAAAGCAAAUGAAAGAUAACUAGCGAUUGUAUUGGAGACUCCCGUCUCCAGAUUUACAAGAAAAUUUCAUUCCCGUUUCUCCUGAAUUUAUUAUCAUCAUUAAUUCGGGAUUACCGAUUCUCCAGAAAUUGCUAUAAAUCUCGGGAAUUAAAAAAAAUUCUGCGAAUUUGUAUUCUAAAA
rnacentral:lncRNA from 1 species